CGAGUUCUGAUUAUUGAAAGGUGCUUGCAUCUUGAUUUAAUUUUGAACGAGUGGCGGACGGGUGAGUAACACGUGGGUAACCUGCCCUUAAGUGGGGGAUAACAUUUGGAAACAGAUGCUAAUACCGCAUAAAUCCAAGAACCGCAUGGUUCUUGGCUGAAAGAUGGCGUAAGCUAUCGCUUUUGGAUGGACCCGCGGCGUAUUAGCUAGUUGGUGAGGUAACGGCUCACCAAGGCAAUGAUACGUAGCCGAACUGAGAGGUUGAUCGGCCACAUUGGGACUGAGACACGGCCCAAACUCCUACGGGAGGCAGCAGUAGGGAAUCUUCCACAAUGGACGCAAGUCUGAUGGAGCAACGCCGCGUGAGUGAAGAAGGCUUUCGGGUCGUAAAACUCUGUUGUUGGAGAAGAAUGGUCGGCAGAGUAACUGUUGUCGGCGUGACGGUAUCCAACCAGAAAGCCACGGCUAACUACGUGCCAGCAGCCGCGGUAAUACGUAGGUGGCAAGCGUUAUCCGGAUUUAUUGGGCGUAAAGCGAGCGCAGGCGGUUUUUUAAGUCUGAUGUGAAAGCCCUCGGCUUAACCGAGGAAGUGCAUCGGAAACUGGGAAACUUGAGUGCAGAAGAGGACAGUGGAACUCCAUGUGUAGCGGUGAAAUGCGUAGAUAUAUGGAAGAACACCAGUGGCGAAGGCGGCUGUCUGGUCUGUAACUGACGCUGAGGCUCGAAAGCAUGGGUAGCGAACAGGAUUAGAUACCCUGGUAGUCCAUGCCGUAAAACGAUGAAUGCUAGGUGUUGGAGGGUUUCCGCCCUUCAGUGCCGCAGCUAACGCAUUAAAGCAUUCCGCCUGGGGAGUACGACCGGCAAGGUUGAAACUCAAAGGAAUUGACGGGGGCCCGCACAAGCGGUGGAGCAUGUGGUUUAAUUCGAAGCAACGCGAAGAACCUUACCAGGUCUUGACAUCUUUUGAUCACCUGAGAGAUCAGGUUUCCCCUUCGGGGGCAAAAUGACAGGUGGUGCAUGGUUGUCGUCAGCUCGUGUCGUGAGAUGUUGGGUUAAGUCCCGCAACGAGCGCAACCCUUAUGACUAGUUGCCAGCAUUUAGUUGGGCACUCUAGUAAGACUGCCGGUGACAAACCGGAGGAAGGUGGGGAUGACGUCAAAUCAUCAUGCCCCUUAUGACCUGGGCUACACACGUGCUACAAUGGAUGGUACAACGAGUUGCGAGACCGCGAGGUCAAGCUAAUCUCUUAAAGCCAUUCUCAGUUCGGACUGUAGGCUGCAACUCGCCUACACGAAGUCGGAAUCGCUAGUAAUCGCGGAUCAGCACGCCGCGGUGAAUACGUUCCCGGGCCUUGUACACACCGCCCGUCACACCAUGAGAGUUUGUAACACCUCGAAGCC
rnacentral:rRNA from 1 species